AAAGUCUACAAUAAGUUUCUGGAAAGUUGUUUAUAGUUUAUUACUAUGCUUUUGGUUUUGGGUCCAAAAUGACGGUUCUUUCAGGUGCCAAAUUGGAUCAGCGUAUAAUAACCUUGAGGUAUCCCUUUUAUAUGGAAUAAUUACAAAAUAGAAAAAUAGAAAUUCUGAAGAGUUCCUAUUUAAAACUGCAAGGUGACUAGAUUAAAAUGUGGAGGAUUUGUU
rnacentral:misc_RNA from 1 species